rnacentral:rRNA from 1 species
GGGCCCGCACAAGCGGUGGAGUAUGUGGUUUAAUUCGAUGCAACGCGAAGAACCUUACCAGGGUUUGACAUCCUGCGAAUCUCUUGGAAACAGGAGAGUGCCUUCGGGAACGCAGUGACAGGUGGUGCAUGGCUGUCGUCAGCUCGUGUCGUGAGAUGUUGGGUUAAGUCCCGCAACGAGCGCAACCCACGUCUUUAGUUGCCAGCAUUUAGUUGGGCACUCUAGAGAGACCGCCGGUGAUAAACCGGAGGAAGGUGUGGAUGACGUCAAGUCAUCAUGCCCCUUACAUCCUGGGCUACACACGUACUACAAUGCUACGGACAAAGAGCAGCAAGUUCGCGAGGACAAGCAAAUCUCAUAAACCGUGGCUCAGUUCAGAUCGUAGGCUGCAACUCGACUCCGUGAAGCUGGAAUCGCUAG